GAACUUAAAAAGUGACCGUAUAAGGAUCUCGUCAUCGGUGAUCUCUUCGAACAACUUUGCAGAAAAAGAGAAAAAACGAGGAAGCGGUGAACAGAAUCAGAGUGCCGGCACCGGCGGCUUUUCCGAUUUGGCUUCGCCGGCGAUUUUCUUCUAGCUUUGGUAAUUCCGCAAACUAAUUAGUGUAACAGAGGUGAUAUCAAUUGUAGUGGAUUUUUUCUUUACCGGGGCUUGUCAACAGGAAUUGUGUCGAGUUUCUGCUGAGCGUAUUUGGCAUUGGAAGAUUGAAAAAUGUCUAGUGGGGAGGUUAAGAAAGUCUCACGUGAAGAUAUACAACUGGUGCAAAAUCUCAUAGAAAGAUGUUUACAGCUUUACAUGAACCAGAAGGAAGUUGUUAACACCCUCUUACAUCAGGCAAAGAUUGAGCCCGAUUUCACCGAACUUGUUUGGCAAAAGCUUGAAGAAGAAAACCAGGAGUUUUUCAGGGCUUAUUAUUUGAGGUUGAUAGUGAAGGAUCAAAUUCAGAAAUUCAAUGACUUACUUCAGAGACAGGUCGAGGCAAUGCAGAUGUAUGCAACUGGAUCCGUCCCCAUUUCUAAUGGAUCUCAGAUUCAACCAGUGCCACAGAACUCAACAUGGCAAGCAACAGAGCAUGCUGGGCAAAAUGUAAAGCUUGAGAACAUGCACCAGACAAUUAAUGGCAAUUCACCUCAUAUUUACACAAAUGGUGAAUCCCCAGUCCAAUCAUAUGUGCAAGCUGCUAUCGAUGUUUCUGAUCAUGCAAGAAGAAUUGAUGUAUCACCAAGCAUGCUAUUGUCUCAAAGCUCAAACCUGGGAAUGAUGCAAGGACCGAAUGAUGGGAUGAUCAAAUCAGCUGGUUAUUCAGGCGACUCGCGCUUCCUAUAUGGUAGUGAGAGCAAUGUCCUGGAGGCUCGUCCUGGAAUUGGGCAUCCAUCUGUUCCACCUUUCAGCAAUGUAGGAUCAAAUUCACAAGCUCUGAACGGAAACGGCUUGGGCGCUGAUACUUCUUCCUUUGGUUUCUUGGGACAGAUUCCUCGAAACUUCAGUUUGUCGGACUUAACAGCUGAUUUUACUAACAGUUCUGAUAUUCUAGAGGGCUACUCUGGGUCAGCGUUCCUUGCAACAGAUACUAACAAUUUUUUGGACCCUCAGGGUAGGGCAGAACAUCAAGACAUUAACGGGUUGGAUAAUAUAUCAGAAGAUUUGAGUUAUGAAGAUUUUUCUAGUGAUUGAAUGACCAUUCAGAUUACCAUCUUGCACAUUUGCCCCGACUAUGUAACCUCAUCAAGUUUAGGGGUCCAAUUGCUUGUAGAUAAAAUUUUGAAGUGCUUCGACGUCUUUUGGAGUAUUGAUUCCUGUGGUUCUUGGACAAGUAAGAAAUGAUAUAAGCAAAUAUGUUCUUGAAAGCUUUAUGCCCUACAAUUUGUCUUCCAGUAAAAGGAAGUUUGGUUUAUCUUAGGAAUAAAGCGUUAUAUGGUGGCAAUUUCUAAUUCAUUCAUCUAGGAUAUGAGAUUG